AGUGAACGCUGGCGGUAGGCCUAACACAUGCAAGUCGAACGGCAGCACAGAGGAGCUUGCUCCUUGGGUGGCGAGUGGCGGACGGGUGAGGAAUACAUCGGAAUCUACUCUGUCGUGGGGGAUAACGUAGGGAAACUUACGCUAAUACCGCAGACGACCUACGGGUGAAAGCAGGGGAUCUUCGGACCUUGCGCGAUUGAAUGAGCCGAUGUCGGAUUAGCUAGUUGGCGGGGUAAAGGCCCACCAAGGCGACGAUCCGUAGCUGGUCUGAGAGGAUGAUCAGCCACACUGGAACUGAGACACGGUUCAGACUCCUACGGGAGGCAGCAGUGGGGAAUAUUGGACAAUGGGCGCAAGCCUGAUCCAGCCAUACCGCGUGGGUGAAGAAGGCCUUCGGGUUGUAAAGCCCUUUUGUUGGGAAAGAAAUCCAUCUGGUUAAUACCCGGGUGGGAUGACGGUACCCAAAGAAUAAGCACCGGCUAACUUCGUGCCAGCAGCCGCGGUAA
rnacentral:rRNA from 1 species